AUACGUAGGGGGCGAGCGUUGUCCGGAAUGAUUGGGCGUAAAGGGCGCGUAGGCGGCCCGGUAAGUCUGGAGUGAAAGUCCUGUUUUUAAGAUGGGAAUUGCUUUGGAUACUGUCGGGCUUGAGUUCAGGAGAGGUAAGUGGAAUUCCCAGUGUAGCGGUGAAAUGCGUAGAGAUUGGGAGGAACACCAGUGGCGAAGGCGACUUACUGGACUGUAACUGACGCUGAGGCGCGAAAGUGUGGGGAGCAAACAGGAUUAGAUACCCUGGUAGUCCACACUGUAAACGAUGAAUGCUAGGUGUAGGGGGUAUCGACCCCUUCUGUGCCGCAGUCAACACAAUAAGCAUUCCGCCUGGGGAGUACGGCCGCAAGGUUGAAACUCAAAUGAAUUGACGGGG
rnacentral:rRNA from 1 species